ACAACUUGGGCAUAUGCUCUGACCUGGAUGCAAACCUGGUUCAUAGGUUGACGCUCAACCACUGAGCCAUGCUGGCUGGGCUUUAGUGUUAUCUUAGUUUCUUUUUUUUUAAUUUUCAAAUUGUUGCUACUUACAUUUCAUGACCUUGCUAAAUUAAUUCUAAGUUGCAUGUAGGUUCUGAGAGAGGCUUUUUAAGAGGAUUAUUUGACAAUGUAAAUGAACGUUUUAAAUGCAUGCACCCCUUGCUUAUGUGUGUGUGCAUAGAAAUAGAUGCAACAUAUUUUCAUUUCAGUAUUACAAUAGCAAAUUAGAAAUAACCUAAAUGCCCAUCAAUCGUGGUACACAUUCUUACUACGUAUACUAUGUUGCUGUUACCAAAAAAUGAGGUAAAUCAUUUCUGCUAAUAUAGAAAGAUGUCUGCAUAUGUUAAAUGAGAAAAGUAAGAUACAUAACAUGUGUAAAAUAGGAAAAAUAUUCUGUAUGCAUACUUGGCUAGCUUUAGAAAAUUUCUGAAAGAUACAAGUUUUUUCAUCAAAAAACAGCUUUAUUGAGGCAUAAUUGACAAAGUGCAUGUAUACAAACUAUACAGUUCAAAUUUUAGAAAAUGUAUACACCUUUAAAACCAUUCUAAUCAUGACAGUCAUUCACCAUCAAGUUUCCUUGUACUUUGUAAUUUCCUUCCUCAGCCCCCAAGCAACCCACUGAUCAGCUUUCUGUUAUUUUACCUUAGUUUGCAUUUUCUGGAGUUUUAUAUAUAUGGUGCAUAGUAUAUUCUUUGUAGGUGUGGUGUCUGGCUCCUUUCACUCAACAUAAUUGGCUUGAGGUUCAUUCAUCUUGUGUGUAUCAGUAGUUCAUUCUCUUUAUUGUUGAGCAGUAUUCCAUUGUUAUGAUAUACCACAAUUUGUUUAUUCACCUACUGAUGGACAUUUGGGUUUCCAGUUUUUGUUAUAAAUAAAGCUGCUAUGAAUGUUUGUGUACAAACAAGUCUUUAUGUGGGGAUAUAUUUCCUUUUUUGUUUGGAUAAGUAGGAGUGGAAUGUUUGGGUAAUGUGGUAAGUGUAUAUUUAGUUUUUUAAGAAACUGUCAAAUUGCUUGAUAAAGUGAUUGUACCAUUUAACAUUCCAUCAGCAGUGUCUGAAGCUCCCUGUCCUCCACAUGCUCUCCAGCACUUGCUAUGGUCAGUCCUUAAAAUUUUCCAUUCUAAUAGGUGUAUAGUGGCAUCUCAUUGUGGCUUUAAUUUGUAUUUCUUUUUAAAAUAUAUUUUUUAUUGAUUUCAGGAAGGGAGAGAGAGAUAGGAACAUCAAUGAUGAUAAAGAGGAUCAUUGAUUGGCUUCUUCCUGCAUGCCCCCUACCAGAACAAGAUACAACAGUUGACAUUCAUAAUAGAUCUUCAAGAAGGAAUGGAAGAACACUUGAAUGGUAAAUAUGAAGCCAUGGUUUUACCAUGUGACCUCACCCCUGGCCCUUCUACUCGAGGCGAUGAGUGGUAACCUGGAGCAAGCCAUUUCUCUCUGGAGAAGCUAAAGUAAGAGGACAGAAGACAUUCCCAGGUAGGUGUGGAGAGCCAAGCUGAAAGCCACCCAGACUUAGGCUUGAGGCCAUGCCAUUUUGGAUCAUUUAUUGGUUGAUGAAUCAGCUGAGAAAAUGAGUGCUGAGAGAGGCAAGAGAAGGGUGCAGGGCAACGGAGAGGAGAACCCCGGAAGCUCUGAGAGAUCUUGGUUUCUCAGUUUUCUGAUUCCCAUAAGGCAAUAUUUUUACACUGGCUCACACCUGGCCUCUGGGAAGCCACACAAGUGCUCCCCAGUUCCACAUCUCCAGAUCUUGCCUUGCUGGGGCCAGGGGACACACACAAAGGAUAUUGGGGCUGUGACAGAUGGGAGCCCAUUGGGCAAAGGUGAGUACUGCAUUGGGUCAAGACUGACAAUGAGGACCCUGAGGGUGAGUCCUGGGAAAUCUUUCCUGGCAGAGCAGGCCAUUGCUAGUUCUGGGAGCUUGGAGGCAAGUGGGGCACAACCUGUAAGGGACCUGGUAGGACCCGAGAGUGUUCUUCUAGGCCUGGCAACACCAACUGCUUUAUCCAGCAUCAUAUUGUGGAAAUUAGAGUAUGGGUUCUGGAGCCAUAAGGCUUGGGUUCAACUCCCAGAUCAGCCCUUAAUUAUCCUUGAGCAUGCUACCUGUUUUCCCACCUGUAAAGUGGGGAUUAAAACAGUAUCUCAUAAUGAUGAGGACUAAGUGAGUACAUUUAGAGCAGUCUACAUGUCUUACUGAGAGGUCUCUGUGUGUUAUUGCCACUAAUGUAACUCUGGCACCUUCUCUUAGAUCCUUUUUAUUUUCUUAGAGUCUUUAAGGACUCCAUACUGAAAUAGCACAGGAACAAAUUGCCUGCCCCCAAAUGGUCCUGUUCUCUCUUUGUGCUCAGGGACAGACAUACGGGGUUGCUCCUUCAUUGUGGUGGAAUAUUUAGGGGGAGAGCAGAGUCUCUGGAGGAGGCUGCCCGCCAUAGCUUGUGCUGGAGCACCCUGGGGAGUCGGGGAUAAGCAGUGCCUUGGCCACCUCUCAGUGUCCAUAGAGGGCGGUGCUGCUCCUAGAAACCACACGUGCCUGUCCUGCUCCUCACCUGUCCCUGCCUCACACAGCCCAGGCUGAACUCGGAGCCUUCUGUCAGCCUUGCCGUAAGUGCACCACCUCAUUUUGCACCCAUCUUUAGACUUGUUCUGUACAGUUUUCUCGGCUGGGAGAUAGAGUCUAGCACAGUGCUUGUUAAUGCACCAACGAAUCUUAGCCAUCAGGAUUAAUACUGCAGCACUGGCUCCACCGGACAAUGAGUCUGCUUCCCCAUUCCCAUUGCUGCUGGCCCUGGGUGUUGGGCACACGCCCCUCCUGGUGUAACUUUUUCUAGGUCUCUCUUCAGCCCUUGCCUGGAGCACUCUUCCUGGGGACUGGACACUAGGAAAACCAUAUCUUUGGCCAUCCUGAGCUGUCCCUGCUCCUGGGGCCCUGAGCCCAGUAGCUGGCUUUCCUGACCCCCGCCUGCCUCUGCAGCUUUUCCCAGGCCCAGUUCCGCUAUUCCUUUUCUUUCAUCCUCAGCCCUCGUCUGGCUUCCUUCUAUUUCUUUCUCCUCCAGUCUUCCUUUCCCCCUGUCCUUUCUUUCUCUCCUCAGGAUAACCCUGUGGUCCCUGGGUUCCUUUCUCAUCUGUACUCGAGGAAUCUCGGGGGUUAACAGGAGUUCUGUGCACUUAUCUGUUGGGCUUAGACCCAACAUAUCAUAAUCACAUGCUCCAGACACAUGGAUGUUUCCUUUCAAACAGUGUUUAUGGUGGCAGCUUUCAUCCAUUCAUCCAGCAAAGAGAGGGCUACUCCAUGCUCAGUCCUGGUGUGGAGUAACAGGUAAAUAAAAAAGAUGUGGUCCCAGUUCUCAUGGAGGUUAGUGAGGGGAGAAAGAGAUGAGCAAAUAUACAAGAUGAUUUUGUUGUUAAGUGCCAUGAAGAGAGCAGGGUGAUGUGGGAGAAAGUGACGGAGGUUGUCAGGGCCUCACAAAGAGGUAACACUUGAGUGAGACCUAGAUGAUCAGAUUGCAUCAGAGGACCAGGCAGUCUUCUUUGUCAAAAAAUAACAGGUUCUGACUCCGGUUAAGCAGAGAAGGAAUGCACCGGAAAGGUAUCAGGUAGUUCAGAGAAUGGGUGGGAGGCCUGGAAAAUUAGGCCGGCACAGAGGCGGUUGCUAAAGGAGGCUGGUGGCCAGAACCUUGACCAGAGUCAUCAUCUCAGCAGGCUCUGUCAGGACCCGGCUGCCACUGCUUUGGAGACUGGACACCAUUAGACUUGGAACCUGGACUCACCGGCAUGCCACCCCGGGAGACCUCUGAACAGGGACUGAGUACCUGCCCCACACACAGAGGCUGUGAGUCUGCUCUCUGAAUAAGUCUGCUCUCUGAAUAAGGCCCUCCAAAAGACAAAGUUAAGACGAUACCCAGAGCCCACCCAGACACAAGGGUUGUGAAGAUUCAUUAAGACAGUGCACAAAGCCUUAAAGAUGGGAAAACCAAGGUUCCAUGACCAGCCAAGCUUGCCAGGUACUGUGUGGGGGCUGGAGUCCCGAGUUCCCUGCAAACGGGAAAGGGCUGAUGGGCACUUGGUGGGAUUUACAUCAUCACCCCAGGCCUCAGAUGGUGGUGUGCUUUGUGUUUGCAGCAGAAGGUUCGACCCCUGUGAGCCCUGCUGCUACCGUUGGUGUGUGUGGGCAGCAGGCAGGGGAGAGCCCUAGGCUGGCAGCUAGCAGGAACUCAUGUGCGAGCCCAGCAUCCUACUUCCCCUGAAGUGUGGUGUCCAGAGCACUGGGCUGGGGAUGGGACAGGGGCCAUGGAGCCUGGUAUGCCCCAGCUGUGGUAAGGCUGCAAGGCCUUUCCCUCUCUGGGUUCCCUCUCCCAUCAAGUGCAGUGAUAGAUUGAACACGGAAAUUCCUUGGUUAUGCAUUUUUUUCAUCCAGAAUCCCUGAAGGCCCCUUGGUAAGCAGGGAAAGUCUGGGGCUUCAGACUCGGGCCCCAAUCCUUCAACGCCUCUUUGGAGACCCUAACUCAGGGUACAGACAGGCCACAGGCAGGGUGUCUUCCUCUUAGCUUUCCUGUACUGUUGCCCAGUAUUCCUGAGAGGGCAACCAUCUGGGGUCCCCCCACUACAAGUCCCAAGGCCUGGGGGGGGGGAGGGGGCAGAGGAAGAGAAAUGGAUGUGGACAGGAGGAAUUUUUGCUUCUUUUCAUGCAAAACAAGGGGCCCUUUUCUGUUCUGAUUACAGCUAAUCUGAUGCUGGGAAGAACGAGAGGCAGGGUCCAUCCUCCAGGUUCCUCAGGAGGAGAAAGAGAUCAAAGGUGGGCGAAUUGGGUCUGAGGAUUGAACUUGACCCUGCCCCAACAUCAGUUUCACCACAGGGCUUCUGUCACUUCCCCCACAGCUAGGAGCCCAGGCUGGCCUGGCCACCAGGGAUGGGGAGGGAGCAGGGCUGGGCACCAUCGUGCCUGGGCCCCAAUCCUGUCCUCACACACCCUUCCCCCAGAGAAACCCGUGAGUCCCUCAUAGUGCCCCUGGCCCAACCACCAUUCUCUCCCCUCCAGGUCUGUGCAGACCAUCCCCACUGCCUGCACUGCCCUCCCUUUUGGCUGCCUGACACUCCACUGCCCUUCAAGGCCUUGCUGCAGCAUGACCUUCUCUAGGAAGCCCUCCCAGCAGAGUCCAGAGCACCCGCAGGUGGGCUAGGCUGGCCA